UAAAUAUCUAGUGGCACAUUAUUCUAGUUAAUGAGUUACUUAUGAAGGUGGGGCUAAAAAUCCACUAAAGAGCAUAUCUGUGAAGUCCUUGGUGUUUGCUUCAUACGCCCAGUUUGGGGUGGAUGCUGAGGGUUAAGAAUUUAUGGGCAGGUGUAAUGGCAUACACUGAUGUUCCAUUUAUUCGUGGAGACUUAUUCUUGUAGAGAAAUCUAUACAGACAACUUGAUGAUUUUUCUACGAAAUAAGCUUGAACCUAUUUUGUGGCGUAAGUUAUGAAUAGAGUAGCUUGACUUGAGUGAUUGAGGGGGAUAAAGGAACUAUCUUAUUAUAUUUGGCCAAUUAUAAUAGGAAUUGCUUUUUGAAACUUUAGUUGCAAAAGAGUAUUAAUAAGUAAUGAGUUAUGGGGGAAAACUCCUAGAGUGAAUUUUAUAAGAUUGCAGUGCGUACUAAGUGGUAAUCAAGUCGUAGAUAUGGUGACAUACUACUGUUUCUUUUAAAAGGGAACUGCUACACUGGUAACGGUAAGUAAGAAAUAGGGAAAUCCAACUUGACCUAAGACGCAAAGUUAAUUAUAGAAUUAGCCAUUUUGUUU
rnacentral:sRNA from 1 species